AUGAGCCCCUGCCUCCUGGGCUGUGUGGUCUUCUGUCUCCUGCAGGCAGGGGCGGUCCAUGCUGGUGUCACUCAGGACCCCAGAUUCCAGGUGGUGAAGACAGGACAGAGGGCAACACUUAAUUGUAGUCAGGAUCUGGGUCAUAACUAUAUGUACUGGUACCGACAAGACCCAGGACACGGGCUGAGGCUGAUCCAUUAUUCAGCUGGGCCUCCCACCAUGCAGCAAGGAGACGUGCCUGAGGGCUACAGCGUCUCCAGAUCAAGCACAGAGAACUUCCCUCUCACGCUGGAGUCCGCCAACCCCUCCCAGACAUCUGUGUACUUCUGCGCCAGCAGUUACUCCACAGCGCUGCAUGGCCACCUCCUCUCUGUGCCAAAAGACAGGGGAUCCAAGUGA